AUGGCCGGGAUGUGCUGGGCGGCCGUGACCCUGCUGGAGUGCGGGGGGGACCUCCAGCCCCCCGGGGGGUCCCUGACUCUGCUCUGCCGCGCCUCCGGGUUCGGAUUCUCGAGUUAUGGAAUGUUGUGGAUCCGCCAGAACCCUGGGAAAGCGCUGCAAUUUGUUGCAAGUAUCAGUAAUGCCGGCACCAGUUACUACUCCUCAUCGCUCAAGGGCCGCGUCAUGAUCUCCAGGGACAACGGGCAGAGCUCGGUGACGCUGACCAUGAACAACCUCAAGGACGAGGAUUCCGCCGUUUAUUUCUGUGCCAAAUCUGCUUAUGGAGGCACUGGUACUGGAGUUUAUUAUGUUGAUGUUUAA